rnacentral:rRNA from 1 species
UACGUAGGGUGCGAGCGUUAAUCGGAAUUACCGGUGCGUAAAGCGUGCGCAGGCGGUCUGUUAAGACCGAUGUGAAAUCCCCGGGCUUAACCUGGGAACUGCAUUGGUGACUGGCAGGCUUUGAGUGUGGCAGAGGGAGGUAGAAUUCCACGUGUAGCAGUGAAAUGCGUAGAGAUGUGGAGGAAUACCGAUGGCGAAGGCAGCCGUC